CAUGUACCGCCUAAGCUUGCCGUUGGCUGUACCCUCAAUUGCCAAUAAAUCCUUUCCAUACCCGAGACUGUCUUAGUAUGAUAUUCACCUUCAGUUAUUAGAGUCUUUUCAUAUCACAUGAUAUCUUUCCCACACAUUUGAUGGGGGCAGUACUGUCUCAGAGAUAAAUGCAUAGGCCACACAAUGGGUCUUCCAGACUGCACAAGUACACUAGAGUAGAUUAUGAUGGAGCCAUAUUAUGGAUGGCUUAUAGUGGA